rnacentral:siRNA from 1 species
UGGUUGUAUUCGAGUAUCUGC